UGAACACAGUUAUUGAGGAAAGGGGCAACCCAAAACAUAUUGUGCAACAACUUCACCAAGCCCAGAUUGAUAGGCAGCUCCUCGAUGAUACAAUCCCGUUUUUACGCCACAAUGACAAAGAGGAACUACCGUUGAUCAGGAAACCGUCCGUCAAUUCCCCUACCACAACAAAACCCUCGUCAUGACUGGUCCGCUAAAUGUGCACGCCCUAGCAAGGGCCUAUGAGUGGGUGGUUGCACCCACCCCGAUCCAGUAUCGAAUCGGGAAAAGCAGUGGUAGAGAUGUGGCCACAGUGAUCCGACUCACGCGUGGAGAGGUCAACAAAGGAUCCGGAACACACGGAUCAUAACGAAACAAAGUGCAACUAUGGCACGAACAAAGGGAAAAAACCUACGAAAACCUGGCUCUGAUACCAUGUUAAAGCAUCAACUCAAAACCAAUUGGCCAUGAAUGGAGAGGCUGCCCAGGCUCAUAUACUAGUUUUAGAGGAGAUAAUUAACCGAUGUAGGACAAUGUUCAACAAAGAUCAUUUCCUCGCAAAUAGUAGAGGUAGCUCGGUAGGUUUUGGAACAAGAAUUCAAUGAUAUGAUUAGGGUACAGAGGAGAUAAAAUCGCUGUAGAACUAUAGAGUUAUAGGACCCGAAAAAGGCAAGCAAAACUAGGCUUCCCCAAAUGGCUCAAGCACACACAUACUGAAAAGGCAACAUAUUUUUUUCCUAAGAGAGUGGACGUAAUCAAUAUUUAUCAUGUACUGAGUUUAGUUUAAGCCAAUUAGCAUUUUUCCCUUAACGUCGCAUUACUUCAUUAAGAUCCCAGAUACAGACUUCUUAGAACAUCGAGAAAUAGUUCAAGUAUCAUAUGAUGGCACCAACUGGUCGAUGAGACCUCUGUUACGGAAUCCAUUUAAACCUGGAGACAUGGAUUGAUGCCACAUAGGUUGGCUUCACAUCAGUGAAUAUGAAGUCAAGUAGAAUGACACAUGGGCGGAGUUCAAACCGGCACUGCAUAUAAGACGUCCACACUCAGUGUGGGCUGUCCUACUGAACUUGACACCCGUCCAUAUAGUAAGGCACCAUAAGCAUUCCUGACCAUGUUUGGCCGAAGAGACAAUCCGAUAAGGGAAUUAAAAGCCAGAGCAACAAGAAUGCACUCAUGGGAUGAAGAUCCCCGUUCAUACGAGUGGCUGUCUUGGCUGCAAAGAUUCCUAGCUAACGAAACCACCUUGUGUGCCUCCCUAACAGACUAUAUACCUCCCCACAUAGAAAGCCCAAAUUUUAACAGGUGUUGCUUCUAAAAGCGUACAUAGUACACACAUUACCUAGCCAUUAGCUCACCACUUCAUAAUAUAUCAUGAUUUUUCACCCCAAUCACCAUGAAAGUUCAAACCAUGUCCAUGAAAGCAAAAUACAGAAAAGUCAUUUAUUAAUGCUCUAGUGUUUUUAUAGCCAUCCCAUUGAUAAAAGAUGGAUGGUUUGUGAACUUUAGCAGGCUUCAAUUGCACCAUAUGCCAGAUAUUGACUAACCCUUAUCAGAUUUUCCAACUUCUACCCAAGGAUAUCCAACACAUGCAGUAUUUAGCUACCCAAGGACAUCAUCAUCAUUAUAUAAAGAGAGGAGUGAGCUCUCUAUCAAAGCUCCAGGCUUAUCUGGUAUUGGCAGAUGAUGUCUCAGUAUGUGGACAAAGUAGGUUAUUGGAGCGCAAGGCACUUGAUGGUCUCAAGCAUAGUUGUCAAAUCGUGAAUCCAAUCGAGAAUCGAAAUCGCACUGCUUUGACCGAUUCUCUCUUUCCAUCGUUUUGUCUGAUUUCAAAUCUCAAUUUCAUCAAUUCUGAAUCGAUGUCCUCGUUUUAUUGAGUAUGAGAGAAGGUGCCCCCCUCGAUCUGUUGAGGGCGGCUUUUUGGGAAAAAAGUCAAGGCUUUUCCAUUUGAAGAAUGAAUGGAAAGGUUGAUGAGAUGGAGGAAAGCGAUGUGGAGGAAAAAGAUAGGAUCGAAGAAGUUGCCCUAUAGUUGCGUUGCGGCCGUUCACGUCAGGUUGUUGAUGUAGUUGCUUGGUCAUUCUUUGAAUCAUGAAUCGAAUCAAAUUAUGAAUUGCUCCGAUUCGGUCAUGAUUUUUAUAAUGCAUAGAAACCUAUGCUUAUUGAUUAGGGUAACAACAAUAUAUACUACAAAUGAAAUAUUUUGGCCUAAAUCAAUAAAAACCUUCUUCUAAAUGAUGAUUUGAUAUUAACGUGGAGUAUUAGGUAAGCUGCUUCUAUUGCAACUACCAAGAGAUGAUGAUUCGUAAAUCCUACUUAUGGUUCUUUUUGUACAAAAGAGUUAUAAGGUUGUUAUAUUCCCUUUAUCUUCCUCAUUUUCGAUUCACUCUCGUAAUAAAUCUCCCUUUCUUAUUAUCUAUCCAUAUAACAUAGACAAAAGAUGACAUAUAAUAAUAUUAAAGACCUUAACAUAGACCGAUUCACUUAUGAUUCGCAGCUAUUUCCAAUUCAGGCGGCCUAUUCAUAUCUAUUACCCACCGAAUCGUACGAUACGAAUUGUGAAUCGUACGAUUCUGACAACUAUUCCUAGCCUUGAUGUGAGCCUCGAGACGAGACGAGACGAGACUUAGCCUUUGAAAGCAUUCGUUAGGGCCCAACCACACAAAGUUCAUAACCUCAAGAAAGGGAAAAGACUUGCUCUUCUAUUUACCCACUGCAAGAUUUUCCAACCAGACAAUGC